GUGACGUCAUUACAAUUUGACGUCAUGCUAAUAUUGUACCACAGUAUAAAACUCUUCCGCAACCUCUUUAUGAAACCGGUUUCGGUUUGAAACCAAAAACAUAACAAAAAUACGCUAUUUUGUCAAUUUAAUGC